rnacentral:lncRNA from 1 species
GAGCUAUUGACAUUUGAUAUGUGGCCUAACAUAUGAAUACAUUUAAAAAUAUUUCAAGAGCACUCGUGGAAAGGUGGAAAUACAACUCAAAUGGUUCCGGAGGAUGUGCCAUGUUAUCUGCAAGAAACCAGGUGGCCUGGUUGAUAUCAACAACAUGUGAAAUUCCAUUCAUGAUGCAGUACCUAAGACACAUGAGGAGCUGACCACCCGUUGCCUGCCAAUGGUGCUGCAUGCCACACUGGCCUGCUUAUACCUCAGAAGAUGGAGCUUUACAGUUGACCUCGAGCCAUGUUUAGUUUCCCACGUGCUGGUUCAGAAGUCUCACCAGCUAUUAAAAUUUG